UAGGUCAUGGUAGUUUAUAGACAAGCUGCAUCAGAGGAAAUGUGAAGAACUGGUAAGGAUUUGACCUGAUGCACAGAAGCUUUUUAGAAGUCCUGGUGUAUCCUCAGCUGCCUGAGUCAACGUGAGCUUUGUUCCUGACCUUGGUGAACUCAGGACUUCACUGUUGUGUACAUUUGCUGCCUAACAGAGGUUCUGUAUGCAGUAUCAAGAGCUGGAAGACAGUGCAUUUACACCCUUUGAAGGAGCUCUUCCAGUUCAUUUUUGUCUCUCUUCAGUGCAGUACACUGCUAUUUACAUUAUUUUUUUUUGUUUCCCCCUGCUUGCUCUGAAUCUGGCUUUGGUCUUGCUCAUGGAUGUAAGCUUUUUUUUAACAUGUUAUUGCUUAUUUUGGUCCUGUUGCAGUAACCAAGUUGUCUCCCAGCAUCUCUUCUUUUGAUCAGACCCUGCCAGGUCUCCUUUAUAUCGAUACGCUUGUUGAAAACUUAAUUAUUUAUUCAUUUCCUCUUCACUACCUUCAGGUAUAUGCUUGGACUUGGAAAAGAUCAGUAAUGCUUUUUUGUGUGUUGCCUUGCUUUUUUUUUUUGUUCUUUUGUAUCAGUAUGGAAAGCUAUGGUAAUGGUACAGGACUCAACUCCAGUAACCAAUGUUCUCCACUCAUUUAUAUGAGUCUUUUGUUCUGGAUUACCUUUCCUGUUUUUCUAAAUUAAAGCUUCUAAAGCUGAAGACUCCAGGCCGUAUUUUUACCUUUUUUGACUAGUUGAAAUAUAGCAAAACUUUUCAAUUUGCAGACCUGACUCAGUAACCUAAUUUUUCUCAUUGCUGUGGGAAUGUUUACAAGAUCUAGAAUAUUCUCAACUGCUGCAUUUAUCCACCUGUCUCAUUUUUUCUUUUACUACUUAAGAUCCUCUUAAAUAAAGUUGUUUG
rnacentral:lncRNA from 7 species